rnacentral:rRNA from 1 species
GAUGAACGCUGGCGGCGUGCCUAAUACAUGCAAGUCGAGCGAACAGACGAGGAGCUUGCUCCUCUGACGUUAGCGGCGGACGGGUGAGUAACACGUGGAUAACCUACCUAUAAGACUGGGAUAACUUCGGGAAACCGGAGCUAAUACCGGAUAAUAUAUUGAACCGCAUGGUUCAAUAGUGAAAGACGGUUUUGCUGUCACUUAUAGAUGGAUCCGCGCCGCAUUAGCUAGUUGGUAAGGUAACGGCUUACCAAGGCAACGACCCGUAGCCGACCUGAGAGGGUGAUCGGCCACACUGGAACUGGAACACGGUCCAGACUCCUACGGGGGGCAGCAGUAGGGAAUCUUCCGCAAUGGGCGAAAGCCUGACGGAGCAACGCCGCGUGAGUGAUGAAGGUCUUCGGAUCGUAAAACUCUGUUAUUAGGGAAGAACAAAUGUGUAAGUAACUAUGCACGUCUUGACGGUACCUAAUCAGAAAGCCACGGCUAACUACGUG